UCCAGAGUGGUGUAGUGGGAACACGUCUAGCUGACAGUUAAGUUCUAAGGCCUUAACCCCUAUGGGGGCAGGGGUCUUAGGUUCGAUCCCUGACUCUGGGA